rnacentral:rRNA from 1 species
AUUGAACGCUGGCGGCAGGCCUAACACAUGCAAGUCGGGCGAGCGGCGGACGGGUGAGUAAUAUAUGGGGAUCUGCCUGAUGGCGGGGGAUAACUACUGGAAACGGUAGCUAAUACCGCAUACCAUCAGAUGCCCCCAUAUGGGAUUAGCUCGUAGGUGAGGUAACGGCUUACCUAGGCGACGAUCCCUAGCUGGUCUGAGAGGAUGAUCAGCCACACUGGGACUGAGACACGGACCAGAGUCCUACGGGAGGCAGCAGUGGUGAAUAUUGCACAAGGGGCGAAAGCCUGAUGCAGCGACGCCGCGUGGGGGAUGAAGUCUUUCGGGUGGUAAAGCGCUGUCGCUAUCGAACGGGUAGGUGGAGAAGAAGCGCCGGCUAACUACGUGCCAGCAGCCGCGGUAAUAC